GACGAACGCUGGCGGCGUGCUUAACACAUGCAAGUCGAACGGAGCGAAUGAAAGCUUGCUUUUAUGAGCUUAGUGGCAAACGGGUGAGUAACACGUAGACAACCUGCCGACAGGAUGGGGACAACAUUCCGAAAGGAAUGCUAAUACCGAAUGAAGUCAGAGAAGGGCAUCCUUUUCUGAUGAAAGAUGGCCUCUGAACAUGCUAUCACCUGUCGAUGGGUCUGCGUCUGAUUAGCUGGUUGGUGAGGUAACGGCUCACCAAGGCGACGAUCAGUAGCCGGUCUGAGAGGAUGAACGGCCACAUUGGGACUGAGACACGGCCCAGACUCCUACGGGAGGCAGCAGUGGGGAAUCUUCCGCAAUGGGCGCAAGCCCUGACGGAGCAACGCCGCGUGAGUGAAGAAAGGUCUUCGGAUCGUAAAGCUCUG
rnacentral:rRNA from 1 species